rnacentral:lncRNA from 1 species
CCCGCAUCCGGAAUCGGAUCUGAUAUUGUAAAAUUUUGUCUUCACAGCCGCCAUUGUUAUCUGGUUAUGUGUUUACAGUGUUGUUUUUGUCAAUCAGAUACGAUUUUACUCAAAUUUAUACAAUAUUUGUCGGCGAUUUUCUGUAUAAAGCUAGCGGUUGAACAAAAUGAACAUCGCUGUCAUGAAUAAUAAUGAUAAAAAUAAGUUUUUAGCUUGUUUAAUUGGAGACUUUGGUGAACAUGGUGAAAAGGUUUGCAAAGUAAUUUCUUAUUUUCUUUCAGGUGGAAGGUGACUACGUCGGGCGUAGCUAGAAACCCGCUAUCCUAUUCGAAAUUCCGCUUGCAAAAGUGGAA